UAAUCCAACACGGCUUGCUGCGUUCUUUCCCCAAGAAUCUCCACAGCUCAACAUUGUCCUCUGAGUUCUCCUGCAGAAGACAAAUUGCUCCAUUCAGCAUGCAAAAGCUUUCAAACUCUCAGUGCCUGCGUUCAAUUUGCUGGGCUGCAACGUCUUCUGGGGAUUUUCCAGGUGCUUCUUCUAAUUAGCAUGAUAAUUGGUCAUUUCAUUAAACAACAUCAUCCACGAGAAGCUAGGGACCGAGCUCCCUUAAAAACAAGGAGAAAGGACAAAACUUGCAAGGUUGCAUUUCACCCCUUUAUUUUUUAUUCGUUUGAGCAGAGUAUAUUGUAGUUAUGGACGGGCAAAUCUGUCAAUUUCAGUUCCUCCCCAUUUUUCAAUUCUUAAGCUCCAUUCUCCCCAUUUCCGCACCAGUUUGUGAUUUCUUUAUUAUUAUAAAAUGUCUUCGUGAAAAUUCACCAACAUUUUAGUGCAAAUUCUCAACCUACACAUCUUUGUAUGCAGUUUUGCUUCAUACAGACAUUUUUACAAAGCAAGUUACCCAAAUAUAACACACUUUGUACGUUAUGUACACAAAUGUAUGCAUUUUAUGCACACUUUAUGCAUCUUUGUACGCACUACUUUGUGAGAGA